rnacentral:rRNA from 1 species
UGACAUGGCAGAAGUAGGAAUCCGAAAGGACGACAACCUGUAUCCAGUCAGGAGCUGUCACAGGUGCUGCAUGGCUGUCGUCAGCUCGUGCCGUGAGGUGUUGGGUUAAGUCCCGCAACGAGCGCAACCCUUGUCCUAUGUUAAAUUCUCAUAGGAGACUGCCUUGUACAGCAAGGAGGAAGGAAAGGAUGACGUCAAGUCAGCAUGGCCUUUAUGCCCUGGGCUACACACACGCUACAAUGGGUGAUACAGAGGGUUGCCAAGGAGCGAUCCGGAGCUAAUCCCUUAAAAUCAUCCUCAGUUCAGAUUGCAGGCUGAAAUCGCCUGCAUGAAGGCGGAGUUGCUAGUAACCGCAGGUCAGCUAUACUGCGGUGAAUACGUUCUCGGGCCUUGUACACACCGCCCGUCACGCCAUGGGAGUUGGCAACACCUGAAGUCGAUGGGCUAACUUGUGAUAAACAAGAGGCAGUCGCCUAAGGUGGGGUUGAUGACUGUGACGAAGUCGUAACAAGG